rnacentral:rRNA from 1 species
GCCUUUAUGGCCACACCACCCUGAGCGCACGGGAUCUUGACUGAUUUUGGAAGCUAAGCAGAGGUGGGCCUGGCUAGUACUUGGGAUGCGAGACCCCCUGGGAAUACUGGGUGCUGAAGGCU